UACGUACGAGGCGAGCGUUAUCCGGAAUUAUUGGGCGUAAAGCGCGCGCAGGUGGAUGAUUAAGUUGGGCGUGAAAUCUCCCGGCCUAACUGGGAGGGGUCGCCCAAGACUGGGCAUCUUGAGGCUGGCAGAGGUAGGUGGAAUUCCUGGUGUAGUGGUGAAAUGCGUAGAGAUCAGGAGGAACACCGGUGGCGAAGGCGGCCUACUGGGCCAGCACUGACGCUGAGGCGCGAAAGCUCGGGGAGCGAACGGG
rnacentral:rRNA from 1 species